UCUCCUACGGGAGGCAGCAGUAGGGAAUCUUCGGCAAUGGGGGCAACCCUGACCGAGCAACGCCGCGUGAGUGAAGAAGGUUUUCGGAUCGUAAAGCUCUGUUGUAAGAGAAGAACGUGUGUGAGAGUGGAAAGUUCACACAGUGACGGUAACUUACCAGAAAGGGACGGCUAACUACGUGCCAGCAGCCGCGGUAAUACGUAGGUCCCGAGCGUUGUCCGGAUUUAUUGGGCGUAAAGCGAGCGCAGGCGGUUUAAUAUGUCUGAAGUUAAAGGCAGUGGCUUAACCAUUGUUCGCUUGGAAACUGUUAGACUUGAGUCAGAAGGAGAU
rnacentral:rRNA from 1 species